rnacentral:lncRNA from 1 species
GACAUCAAGCAAGUCCCAGUUACAGAAAGAACCCACUGCAGGGCGUCCAGUCACUUGCCCAGUGAAAAGACUGUAAUCAGACAACUUUAAUAAAGGGAGAGCAGGAGAGUGGUGACGAAUUUCCACAUUCCGAACAAGCUUGUCGAAAGAGGAGUGCAGGGAAGGAGCAAGAAUGAGGCACUGGAAGACGGUGAGCGGGGCCUUGCCACAGAAUCCCGGGCCCACCUGCUUUCUCACAGUCGCGACAGCCGGCCCGGAGAAGGGCAGCCCAGCGAAGGGCACGCCCCGCGCGGGUGCCAGGGAGGCCGGCAGGGGCGUCCGCGGUCGCUGCUCACCUGCGCUCCCCGCUGCCCGGCCCAGCCCGCCUCGCCACCGAGUCUGGAAGCCCACACUCACCCCUUUACCCGGGAAACGCGGCCGGAGCCGGCGGCGGGUCGGGAGUCCGAGAUGGUAGAUCCCCCUCCAGGCGCCUCGCUGACAUUUUGUCCCGGACGGAAAACCUCCGCGCGUGCCCCUUAAAGACACAGCGCUGCAUUCACACGUCUGCGGGGAAAGGGGGGCCGUCACGUGUGGCCUUCGCCCGAAAGCGGUAGGGGAGUCGCUCUGAAACCGCCAAGGAUCGCGAGCGACAGAUUUGUGUUGGCCAGGGUUUUAAGAUGACGCAAUAGCUGAGUGUGGUUGAAAUGUAACUAUUGUUUUACAACUUUGCAUUAACCUUCCAAGACCUGAAUUCCCGGGCCUGAGUCUCAGAGCGCGGUUUGCAUCUUUGCAGGCUGUAGGCGCAUGAUGUCACAAGUUAUUGGAAGAAAUCCCUCCAACCUAGGUUGGGACAGAUGAAGGCGGCGCUUAUUGGUGUUCACCAAAACACCAGCAUGGUGUACCAGCUUUGGCUAGAUGAUGCUCAGACGGGCCUGUCUAAUUGCAGGAAAACAAACUCAGGGCUCCCACUGAUUCUACAUUACGGAGGAUCUCAUUUCUGUACCCUGCCCUGGAAGUUGGCAAAAAAACACCAGAGACUGGGUAAUUAAUAAAAAGAAGAAAUUGAUCUGGCCUACAGUUCUGGAGCCUUGGAAGUCCGAGAUCAAGGAGCUGCAUCUGGGUUCUAGGAUGCCUCAUAAAGGCCCGUAGUGUACUUUCUGUCUACUUCACUUAGCUCCGCAUUUGCAAUUUCUGUUAACAUGCAUACAGUUGAAUGGAUGGCCAGGAUCAAAGCUAUCUGCUGUGAGACACAAUGAGAAAUGCUUUUGUGUAAAGGACUCAAUGAUCACCCGCUCCAGAGGAUGCAGCAAAAAGGUGCCAUCUUGGAAGCAGAGACCAGCUCUCACCAGACGCUGAAUCUGCUGGCUCCCUGAUCUUGGACUUCCCAGGGUCCAGAACUCUGAGAAAUAAAUUUCUAUUGUUUAUAAUGUA